rnacentral:rRNA from 1 species
AAUCAAGUGCCUUAAGGGUGUUCGGUGGAUGCCUUGGCGCUGAGAGGCGAUGAAGGACGUGCUACGCUGCGAUAAGCCGUGGGGAGCUGCGAAGAAGCUUUGAUCCGCGGAUUUCCGAAUGGGGAAACCCACCUUCGAUAGCCGGUACUCCAAGACCUUGUGUGUUGGGGUUCGACCAGAAAUGCGCCUAAUCAAACCGCGAGGUUUUGGAUUUCCGGUUAUCAAGAGAAGGUAUGAGACCUCCGAAUAAAAUAGGAGGUUUUAAGCAAACCCAGGGAACUGAAACAUCUAAGUACC